UGUAGUGGAAAAUUGCAAAUUUGCAAUACUUAAUCAUUCGAAAAAUCUUAACUUUUCAGUUUUUGCUAUUGUUGAUUGUAUCUACUAGCCACUUGAUAUUUGAACUAUGCAUACACAUGUCUUGAUGUUAGGUAUUUUUUUUUUCCUUCCUGUUAUAGGAAGAUCAUAUACAUUAACAUUUAUAUGAUGUAAACUCUUUUUUUACAAAAUACAACAAGUGCUUAAUUAAGUUGUUUGUCCAAACAGAGUCUUGGUCUGUAUCCUGCUUGACAUGAUAAUUUUUAAAGAAGUUACUCUUACUGCUUAAUUAAGAAGUUACCAUAUACCUAUACAUCAAAGUCACACUACCCUUACUGCUUGAGCUAUUUGAUCAUAUGGCAUGCUAUAUCUGAUUAUUUGAUUCAUACCAGGAAAAUCAGAACAGUGUCUGGUUUACAUUUUACGAUCUUUUGCCCGAUUAAUUAGACUUACAUUUCAAAUUUUGUGCAGGUUGAGAUUGUGAUGGGACUUGAGGAGGAAUUUGGCAUUAGUGUGGAAGAAGAAAGUGCUCAGACCAUCACCACCGUUCAAGAAGCUGCUGACAUGAUUGACAAGCUUCUUGAGACCAAGGCUUAAGCUAGCAAAGAGGAGGCCUUACGCGUCUAUGUUGGAGUUUUUUUCUUUUCGUUAUGCGAUCUUCGGUGUUUCAGUUUGAUUGAACUUUCAUGUAACUGCUACAUAUUUUCUGGACCGUAUUAGAAUUACAAUAAUACUAGUUUUGUAGAACUUGUCUCUUUCUUUACCUAUAAAAUGAAAUUUGCUCCUAAAUCACAAGUAUUUGCUGUCAUGAGAUAUCAUGUGUUCCCUACUUCAAAAUAUUUACCUCUCAUUCUCCCAAUUCUGGCAAGAAUAGUUAUUAUAGAUUCGCAUGGCCAAAAAUAUAAUGAUUAGGAUCCAAGGCCUAAAAGAAUGGGUGCUGCUGAUCAUUGAAUUAGGUGCAAAGUAUCUGAUUAGAAUUAGGAUGCUAUCUUCUUAUUUGCAAAAAGGACUCUGGAGGUUAAUCCUACUGCUGGAUUAAAACAAUGGUCAGAUUUUGUAUUUGAUUAUGCUCUCUUGACAUAGAUCAACACUCCAGGCAAAUUUUUGGAUGAGCUGUUAGUUACGAAUUUUUUGGUGGCACUGUGAUGUUAUUCAAGCUCUGUUCAUCUUUGUUAUCACUUUAAAUUUGUCAAUUGUCAAAAUCAUGGUGGUUUGCAGUAAUUUUGGUGAACUCACUAUUAUACCGAACAUAUACUCUAAAGUGCAGCUUUUAUCCAAAGAUAAAAUUGGAAAAACGCAGGACGCAUGAGAAUGACAUAGGAUGGAAAAAGUAAUAGUCUAAUUAUAUUUCGGUCUCCCACUUUCCUUCUAUGUCUUGGUUCGUAAUCCUUUGCGGAUCUCCAUGGCUUCGGUAGAAAUGCCAUAAAAAAGAAGAUAUUAUUGUAAUUCUUUCGACAAAAAUAUACAUCAUAUAUAAGAUAAAUUUAUACACAUAUCGUGUGAAAAGAUAAAUAAAUCUAUGUACCAGAAAAAAAAAAAUUCCAACAUAUAAAAUAUUUUAAUAUCUACUCCCUGCAAUCCUUAUUAUAAGAAAUUUUUCACUUUUUAGAUUUAUUAAGCAACGAAUUGAACAACUAAUAUAUAUGAUUAAUAUUUUUUUUGGUAGUGAUAUGAUUAAUAUUAUAGACAAUAUACAUCAGUUAUUCAGUAAAUUUAAAAAAUAAAUUUAUUGUUAAAAUAGGGAUCAAAGGGAGUAAAUAUAAAGAUUAUUUAGUCAAUUAUUCUUGAUGGGUUUCCUGUACAACAAGUGUAUGAUCUUAUCCCAAACAUUCAUGUGGGGACUUUCUCCCCCUUUUGAGAAAAAACUCAUCACUCGCAGAAUCCUAAAAAGAGAAGUUUUUACGAAGAUUUUCAUUUGUUAAAACAAAUUGACAUCUCUGUUUAUGUAGAUUGAUUAAUUAAGCAUUCUGAUUUAACUUUUUUAUUUGAAAAAAUUGACUUUAAAUUUUAAUAUACACUAAAUAAAGUGUUUAGAAUGCUCUUCAAACUCUAACUUUAGUCUAUGCGAGCUUUAAUAUAUAUAUAUAUAUAUUUGUCAAAAGAAAACUAUAACAAUAUUGAAUACGGCUUAACUUACUAGCUUAAAUGACCCAUAAAAAUAGAAAAAUGUGAGUUAAAAGUGAUUUCUACAUAAAUUGAUUUGAAUAUACUUGUGGUGUAAAAUAGUGAGUUGAUCGAAAAAUUGUUUAUUUGGUUUUACGAUGAAAAAAAAGAAUUUUCACUGAAUUGAUUUUGUUUGAAAUUGACUUUAAGUUAAAAUAAUUUACGUUUAAAUAUGUUAUCAAGGAAGUGAUUGGUACAAUAUAUGUAAUAAUCACAUUUAAAUAGAAAAGUUACAUUACACAUCCUAAGUUCAAAUUAAAAUUUGUUCUCCUAUUAUAAAUUCAAUUAUAAAACCUUAAUACAAGUUUAUAAGUUAUUUAAAAAAAAAAAACAAGCUUAUGGACAUUAUCAAAGAGAGCCUCCCUAGUUUUGGUACACAACAUAAGUUAAGUAAGUAGGUUCAACAUUUCUAUCGAUUAAAUUUUUAGACUUUCUCACAAGUAAGUUAUAACAAACAAACACUCACACGUGCCAGCUUCGAAAGUAUCGAAAGGAAAGUUGGAAAAACCUCAAAACCUCAACCAAACCCAACAAACAAUGUUGUUCCUAUAAAUAUAAAUACAUUCGUCAGUGUUUUAGCAACUCAUUUCAUUUUCACUUUGUUAGCUCCGUCCUGUCCUUCCUUGUUUAGAUCUCAGAUCUCUCUCUCUCUCUCUCUCUCUCUCUCUCUCUCUCUCUACAAUGGCUUCCAUCACUUCAACCUCCAUGUCCCUCCUUUCCCUCUCCAACCAAUCUAUGGUAUGCUGCUUCAAUAACCCCUUUUCAUCGAUUAAUUAAUAACCCUUGUUUAUUGGAUCUAUUAAAUCAAAUAUUUCAUGUUUUUGGGUGAAAACAAAAACAGGUUUCUUUUGCUAGGAUCUCUGGUCCAAGUUCUGUUUCCCUUUCAAUUAAGGGAAGGAACUUUCCAUCUAUUGCUUUGCAGCCAAAAGGACGUCGGUUUCAUGUUACAUGCGCGGUAAGAUUGAUUUUCACAUGUUUGGUUGAGUUUGCAUCUAGAUUACUAUGAGUUAUCAACGAUGCCUUAUGGUUAUAAUAAGAUAACUAAAACAAAAUUGUUGGACAGUUCUAAUGCUGAUAUUUAAGAUGAUAUAACAAGAAUGGACUUUAAUUUUGUGCAGGCUAAACAAGAGACUGUGCGGAAGGUGUGUGACAUAGUCAAGAAACAAUUGGCCCUGUCAGAAGAUUCAACUAUUACUGGAGAGUCUAAAUUUACUGCACUCGGAGCUGAUUCUCUUGACACGGUAUAUUUAUAUUUAUUGUCUACUAAUUACUGUAGUGGAAAAUUUUGAAUUUGCAAUACUUAAUCAUUCAAAAAAAAUCUUAAUUUUUCAGUUUUUGCUAUUGUUAAUUGUAUCUCCUAGCCACUUGAUAUUUGAACUAUACAUAACACAUGUCUUGAUGUUAGUUAGUUUUUUUUUCUCCCUUCGUGUUAUUUUUGUCCUCUUCUCAUGAUUUGUUGGAGCAAGAGGUUUUUUACAAUGAGAAAGUGGUGAUGCAUGUAUAAAAAACAAGCGCUUCUAAGCCCUCAUAUUUGUCCGUGGCAUCCUGUGAUCGGAUUCUCCUGAAAUCCAUGAUCAUCCUUUUGGUGGUUAUUAGUUUCUCUUUUAACAUAAGUAUUUGAUGUUCUGGUAAGAGAAAGUGUUAAGCUGCACUUCAGUACUGAAAUAAACUGGAAAUACAUACAAGUAACUACAUGUGUUCAUUGUUAACUAUAUGCAUGCAAUCUAUAUUUAGUUUCUAAUCUACAGUCUAUUUUUACUGUGUCUCUGAUAAGAUAAAACGCCGCUGAUCGUCAAUUAAGUUUAGCUAACAGUUUACUAUUAUUAUGUCAAUUAUAAAAUAUCUCAGUUUUUUAAGCAAAUUUAGUUUUUUUUUUCUUUAUUUCCUUGGUUGUCUUAGGGCAUGUUUGGAUUGACUUAUUUGAGCUUAUCUACAGGCAUACAAGUACUUGUGACUGUUUGAAAGAGCUUAUGACAUAAUCAUAAGCUUUUUUCAGCUUACUUUCAUAAGCUCUCCUAGAUACCUUAUGAAAAUAACUUAUAUAGCUUACAUGAAAAUGGAUUGACUUGUUAUAGGAAGAUCACAUACAUUAACACUUGUAUGAAGAGCAUUUGUGCUAUAAACACCUUUUUUUUUACAAAAUACUAUAAGUGCUUAAUUAAGUUGUUUAUCCAAACAGAGUCUUGGUCUGUAUCCUGUUUGACACGAUUUUUUAUAAAGAUGUUACUUGUUUGUGAAGUAUCUAUAUUACCAUAUACCCUUACAUCACAGUCACACUACCCUUACUGCUUGAGCUAUAUGAUCAAAUGGCAUGCUAUAUGUGAUUAUUUGAUUCAUGUCAGGAAAAUCAGAACGCAGUGUCUGGUUUACAUUUUACGAUCUUUUGCCCGAUUAAUUAGAUUUACAUUUCAAAUUUUGUGCAGGUUGAGAUUGUGAUGGGACUUGAGGAGGAAUUUGGCAUUAGUGUGGAAGAAGAAAGUGCCCAGACCAUCACCACCGUUCAAGAAGCUGCUGACAUGAUUGACAAGCUUCUUGAGACCAAGGCUUAAACUAGCAAAGAGGAGGCCUUACAUGUCUAUUUUGGAUUUUUUUUGGUUAUGCGAUCUUCGGUGUUUCAGUUUGAUUGAACUUUCAUGUAACUGCUAGAUAUUUUCUGGACCGAAUUAGAAUUACAAUAAUACUAAUUUGUAGAACUUGUCUCUUUUUUACCUAUAAAAUGAAAUUUGCUCCUAAAUCACAAGUAUUUGCCAUCAUAAGAUAUUCAUGUGUUCCCUAGUUCAAGAUAUUUUCCUCAUUCUCUCAAUUCUGGCAAUAGUAGUUAUUAUAGAUUCACAUGGCCAAAAAUAUAAUGAUUUGGUUCCAAUGCCUAAAAGAAUGAAUGCUCCUGAUCAUAGAAUUAGGUGUAAAGCAUCUGAUUAGAAUUAGGAUGGAUUAUCCUAACUAACUGCCAACUAGUUGGAACUAGUGAUUAUGUUUCU
rnacentral:lncRNA from 1 species